UUUAAUUUCGACAAAUCAAAUAUACAGAAAAGUUACAAGAAUAUUACCCCAAAAUGCCCAAAUAUCCUUUACCCAGAUUCACGAUGUACAUUUUGCCAUUUCCUAUUCUUGAGAGAGAUACAUAGAUUUAUAGCCCAUUCCUCGUCACAAUUUUAUCUGCUAGGUGUAGCAUCUGUUAGUGAUUAUUGCUUGAAUCUGUUAUCACUGUGAUGGUUGAAAAAUGGUGAUUAUCUAAUUAGAACCUUUUCUACAUUUUUUAGUUUGCGUUCUACUCUGAGCAGAGCUUUCGCUUCUCCCACGUUUGUUUGUUCUUGUAUGCACUUGCAUCAGCAUGGACUCCUGGGUUCCUUUUUAUUCCGUGCCAGACCUAUGCUCUUUCCUGUCGCCUGCACAGCCUGCUGCUGCCUCCUCGUAUGGGUCAUUCUGAUCCUCACAGGAACCCUUCAAGAAACCCUUAGAGGUCAGGGAUUCCACCACAGAGUUCUGCACUGUGCUUUACUGAGACAAGAACUGGGUUUCAAUCAAACUGGAUUGGAUUCUAAAGCCACCUCUACCCCUUACAAACCUGUGGCCUGGGAAGGUACCCACUUCGUAGGAUGGUAGGGUCGAGGUCAGCUGUGACAUGUGGAAACAUCGGCUAAAGGUGAGUAAACAGCUAUUCUAUGCUUUUUCU